rnacentral:tRNA from 1 species
CUGAACAGGCGGGCCUCGAUCCCGCG